UAGUCUUAGACUAUUUAUAGAGUUUGGACUUACAAUUACAUAUGGUGUCGUAUUACGUGAAGUCUUGCUUGAGAAUGCACCGAGCACCUGGCUAUGGAAGGUAAAAAAAAAUUACAACAAAAAAUCCUAACAAUCCAAUAGGAUUAUAGAGAAUUUACAAUUAAACAUUAAUAAUCAUAAUCAAAUAUUAAGCAAGCUCAAUUAAAUUUUAUUGAAGUUAUAAAAGAAACGCAAGGAAAUCCUAAAGAAAUAUAAAAGAAUAUUAAAGAAAACUUAGUCAAAUCCUAACAAAAAUCUAAUAAAACCUUAAAUUCUAACCAACCCCUAAUCCUAAUCCAACCUUAAUUAAACCCUAAACAAACCCUAAACCCUAAAUCAAAUCCUAAUCAAACCUUAAUCAAAUCCUAAACCUUAAAUCAAUUCCAAACCAAAUACUAAAUCAAACCCUAAAUCCUAACCCAAACCCUAAUCCAAAUUCUAAUCCAAAUCCUAAAUCCUAAAUCAAAUUCUAAACCAAA
rnacentral:lncRNA from 1 species